rnacentral:rRNA from 1 species
CGGCGUGGAGUCGGAUGGUGACCGGCGGAGGGACAUUACCGAGUUUACAACUCCCAAACCCCUGUGAACAUACCAAUUGUUGCCUCGGCGGAUCAGCCCGCUCCCGGUAAAACGGGACGGCCCGCCAGAGGACCCCUAAACUCUGUUUCUAUAUGUAACUUCUGAGUAAAACCAUAAAUAAAUCAAAACUUUCAACAACGGAUCUCUUGGUUCUGGCAUCGAUGAAGAACGCAGCAAAAUGCGAUAAGUAAUGUGAAUUGCAGAAUUCAGUGAAUCAUCGAAUCUUUGAACGCACAUUGCGCCCGCCAGUAUUCUGGCGGGCAUGCCUGUUCGAGCGUCAUUUCAACCCUCAAGCCCCCGGGUUUGGUGUUGGGGAUCGGCGAGCCCUUGCGGCAAGCCGGCCCCGAAAUCUAGUGGCGGUCUCGCUGCAGCUUCCAUUGCGUAGUAGUAAAACCCUCGCAACUGGUACGCGGCGCGGCCAAGCCGUUAAACCCCCAACUUCUGAAUGUUGACCUCGGAUCAGGUAGGAAUACCCGCUGAACUUAA